rnacentral:lncRNA from 1 species
GGCUAUACUUCCAUCAUCUCCAUACUUGCUGGGAGAUUGAGUAAUUGGUGUCUGGAUGUGCGUGUGCUGCUUCCCAAAAUACCUCUUUAAAAAGACGUGAGAGGGAUGCGGAGCCAGUAGGUACUGAAAUGUUAAUGCACAGCUUUAUGGUGCUUGGUUAUAGGUGUCGAACUCUGUCUUGUGGGAGAGGGGUAGAUGAGAAAAUAGGGCAUGCCUGUGG